CUUAAAAUCAUGUAUACACAGGUAUAUUUAAAGGCAGGUAAAACCAAAAGUUACAUAAAUUGUUAUACAUAUUUUUUUGUUUUUUUCCAAAUGGAAGUAAAGGCCACUCCGAAUUGCCUGCAUUUUAAAAAGACAUAACAGCUUGACAUUUUUAGUGAUAUGAAAACAAAAAACCCAAAAUGUAAUUUUAUGAGGACUUAAGUGAUUUAUACAUAAAGACCAAUUCCACAGCCAAGUUCUAAAAGUAGGACAAUUGUCUUGGAAACCCAUAGAAUGUUCCUGCUGAUUGCUCCCCUUUUAAAACUCUUCUCCAGAAUAGUUCAAUAUCCAUAAACCAUUCUAUUUAAAAUCAGUUUCUUCUGAACAUUGACACCAAUAGAGGUAACAUAAGG